UAUCAUCUCAUUUUCUUGAAAUUUUAUUGAAAAUAUUAUUGUGAUGGACUGCACUUUGUAUGUGGAAAUACAUGCGACAAACGAAGUGAGGUAUGAAAAGGCUCUCGAGGACUGGUCUGACAGCCUUGCCCUUGCUUCUUUCCUGGAUCUGUGGUAGCUGGAAGGGUCUGGGCCUGCAUCCAGGGGUGCGUGUCCUGCCUGACCCACGCUCUCCUGGCAGCAGUGGCAUUUGUCACCCCUGCAGUGAGCAGUAGCAAGGAGAGGCAGGCCUUCUCCUGAGCUGAAGGCCUUGCCAGAGUAUUCUGUUGCUCAAACCCUCUGGGUGGGCAGGCAGGCAGCACCCUGGAGGGAGGCAGCUUCUAGCAAGGAGCCCUCUGGGCCUCUACCAGGCAAGAUGUGCUCCUUCUCAGGUGUUUCUACUUCCCUGUCUGGCAGCAGGAAUGGCAAAAAGCUCUGUAGCCUAGGAGGUUGUCCCUGGAAGUGUGCUGUUGGGGAGCUGGGGGAGACCAUCUCCAUCAGCCAUCCACGAGAGGACAGCUGCUGCCUGGAAAAAAAGAGUUCAGGACCCUCUACACUGAAGAGCAGCAAGCCACACACGGCUGCUGGAUGUAACAGGGUGCUGCCUGCGGGUGUGCUGGGAAAGACUUGCGAUUCAUGGGGCCAGAAGGUGAAUUAAUAUGCCACAUUCCACAAUAAUGCUUGUGAAACAUGCACCUCAUCAUUUUUGUGUUUAAGAGGUGCCACAGAUUGCAUAGAAAGUUAUUAAAUGAUUUUAGGGAGCUUAAAAAUACUUUUGAUUUGAUUCUUUCCAUCUCUUUCCCAUCUGUGAGGCAGGUGUCCAGCAUUACAAGCCAACUGAGGGAAAGAAAUGUUACUCUCCAUAAAAUGUUAUGAAUAGGCUAUGAUUCUACAAAAUAGAGUUCUGUGCACAAAGCAAUAUAAAGAUGUAAUUCUCAGGUUCUU
rnacentral:lncRNA from 1 species